UGAAAGCAAAAUCAUCAAGCGAAAACUGGAACCAUUUCUUUCUCCCCCAUUCUGUUCUCUCUCUCGCUCGGGUCCAGCGAGGGCGUCCAUCUCCCUUCGCCAGCCACAGAACACGGCAAUUUUUACUUCAUUAUGCUCUGCCUUCAUUUCUUUACCUUUUGCCCUCGUAAUGCAAAAUAUCACUUCCUCAUUUACGGAAAACGGUUGAAAUUACGUCUUUGUGAACAACUAUCGUUGUAAUCCUUUUGAUACCAAAACUGAAGUAUAAUCCUAAAUCAUGCUGAGUACAAGUCUAAGUUGCCAAUAGAUUCUUAUAUCUCAAUUGUAUUUGGUGUUCGGGGCAUUUGAGAAGGCUUCGGAGAAGAAGAAUGGGUAUGUGUUGCCGAGGUCGAAGAUGGUGAAUGCUGACCUUGGGAGGACUAUUAACUCUGAUGAGGUGUAGAGUGUCGUUAGGCCGAUCGAUUACUGAGGAGGAGGACGUUGAAGGAGAAAUCCUUUGAAGAACUUGGAUGCGAUGUUGAGGUUGAACCCAUGCGCGAAGACUGCGAGAAACGGCUUUGAUUGCAGGGGAGCGGAGGGUGAAGGCCAAGAAGGUGAAGUUGGACGAGAAGAGGAGUAAACUGCUGCCUGACUCCAUUUUAAAAGUUGUCAUCUGUAUGAGCUCAGUAGUUUAACGAAAAUAGUGUUAUCAUUAUAAUUACUACGAUGUAAGUUGUUAGUGAUACGUAUUUUAUUUCGUUGCCAAAUAAAUUCGACGAUUCGAUUGUUCGUUAGUUUA